CCCGCGGCGCAUUAGCUAGUUGGUGGGGUAACGGCCUACCAAGGCGACGAUGCGUAGCCGACCUGAGAGGGUGAUCGGCCACACUGGGACUGAGACACGGCCCAGACUCCUACGGGAGGCAGCAGUAGGGAAUCUUCCGCAAUGGACGAAAGUCUGACGGAGCAACGCCGCGUGAGUGAUGAAGGCCUUCGGGUCGUAAAACUCUGUUAUCAGGGAAGAAUAAGCAUUGGUUAACUGCCAGUGCCUUGACGGUACCUGACCAGAAAGCCACGGCUAACUACGUGCCAGCAGCCGCGGUAAUACGUAGGUGGCAAGCGUUGUCCGGAAUUAUUGGGCGUAAAGCGCGCGCAGGCGGCUUCUUAAGUCUGAUGUGAAAGCCCACGGCUCAACCGUGGAGGGUCAUUGG
rnacentral:rRNA from 2 species